rnacentral:rRNA from 1 species
UACAGAGGGUGCGAGCGUUGUCCGGAAUCACUGGGCGUAAAGGGCGCGUAGGCGGCUUUUCACGCGUGCGGUGAAAGCUCGGGGCUUAACUCCGAGUCUGCCGUGCGAACGGGGAGGCUUGAGUCUGGUAGAGGUCGAUGGAAUUCCGGGUGUAGUGGUGAAAUGCGUAGAGAUCCGGAGGAACCCCAGAGGCGAAGGCGGCGUCCUGGCUCGCAUCUGACGCUCAGACACGACAGCAUGGGGAGCGAACGGG